rnacentral:rRNA from 1 species
UACGUAGGUGGCAAGCGUUGUCCGGAUUUACUGGGCGUAAAGAGCGCGCAGGCGGCGGUGCUGGCCCGGCGUGAAAGCCCCCGGCUCAACCGGGGAGGGUCGUCGGGGACCGCACCGCUUGAGGGCGGUAGGGGCUGGUGGAAUGCCUGGUGUAGUGGUGAAAUGCGUAGAGAUCAGGCGGAACACCCGUGGCGAAGGCGGCCAGCUGGGCCGUCCCUGACGCUGAGGCGCGAAGGCGUGGGGAGCGAACGGG